UACGAAGGGGGCUAGCGUUGCUCGGAAUCACUGGGCGUAAAGGGUGCGUAGGCGGGUUUUUAAGUCAGGGGUGAAAUCCUGGAGCUCAACUCCAGAACUGCCUUUAAUACUGAAGAUCUUGAGUCCGGGAGAGGUGAGUGGAACUGCGAGUGUAGAGGUGAAAUUCGUAGAUAUUCGCAAGAACACCAGUGGCGAAGGCGGCUCACUGGCCCGGUACUGACGCUGAGACGCGAAAGCGUGGGGAGCAAACAGG
rnacentral:rRNA from 1 species